CAUUUGAUUUACUCUCACAAAACUUCAUCAACCCUUUCUCUCUCUCUCUCUCUGGCGACUCAUGAACAUAUCUGUAAGGAUUUCACCAGAUCUAGGGUUUUACUUUCAUUCGAAUUCAAAUCCAUGACCCCAACCUGUGACGGUGUGGUGUGCAGUGUUAAAAUCCGCUGAUUAGGGUUCGCGGGUAAUCAGCCGACAUCGGUGCUUUUUGACGGAAGGGGUGCCGUACAACAACAUCCAAUUUCAAGAGAGAACUCGAAAGGGGCAACUUUUCGAUGUGGGUUGGGUUUUCUUGAAGCAUUGUUGAGAUUUCAAGAUUCUUGAAGAACUCAAAAGGGGCAACUUUUCGAUGUGGGUUUGAUCUGUUUCAAAAUAAUAAGUGAAAAAGUGUACAUCUUGAAGAGUUUAGAUGGGUGUAAUUAGUACUUUGUUGGGGUUUGCUGGGUUUGGAAUUGGGGUUUCUGCUGGCCUUGUGAUUGGUAUCUGUCAUCUACUUCCAACCUACAGAUGUCAAUUCUAUGGGUUUUAAAACUUUUGAUCAAGCUACUCCUACAUAAGAGUUAUCAGCCUACGAUCUACACAGAACCGAGUGGCGGUUUAAGCAUAUCUUCAGAGGUCAACUGCGAAGGCAUCUGCUUACAAUAGGCUGGAGUACUUUCAAUACUAACAAGCGAUUAGUGGCUGGCGACUCAUUCGUAUUCCUUAGAGGGGGAAACGGUGAAUUACGUGUUGGAGUUAGACGUCAAAGCAUGCACUUGGGUGUUCUUGCAACUGCAUCACAUGCGGUUUCAACUCAAACGCGGAUUACUACAAACCAAGGACAAGUCAGUUCAUCAUAGGAUUAAACAAGUAUAUAGAAGACGUAAACAAUUGUAUUACUCUUGGCAUGAGAUUUAAAAUGGGGUUUGAGGGUGAGGGCUCUCCUGAAAGAAGGUUUACCGGUACAAUAAUUGGAAUCGAAGACAUAUCUCCUCAGUGGGAGGAUUCCAAGUGGUGUUCAUUAAAGGUUUAUUGGGAUGAACCUGCUUCGAUUACGAGACCGGAACGCAUUUCAAAUUUGCAGAUCCGUGUUGUUCAAGUUUUCUUUGUGGUUGAUAAAUAUUGAUUUUUACUUUAUUUUGUAUGUUAUUUGUUGGUUUUGUUUCGUUGGAAGCAUCUAUGAAUCAGGAAUUAAAUUAAAGGAUUCCUCACUUUAACGUAAAAUCAAAGAUUCUUUGUCGUGUUGUUCAUACUCAGCUAUUGGCUGAACAAGACACGGGUGAAGUUUAUGCUUAAAUUAAAGGAUUCCUCACUUUAACGGGUGAAGUUUAUGCUCAAAUCACUUUACUUCCAGAGGCAAAUUUAUUAACUUUUUCUUGCUUUUGUAGGCUGAAUAAGAAGCACCACGAGUAUGGUGAGUGGGUCAACUUGGUUAACUGGGUCAGACACGGUAUUGUCAAACCAUCAAACGUUUUGGGUAUUUUUUCAUUUGAAUAUACUAUUAUACCAUAAGUUCAUGAAACCCAUAUAAUAUAUAUGUACGAUAUCAUGGAUUCAUGGGCCACCACAAGUAAUAUUCGCAUACUUAAAAUACCAAUGGUCACUUGGGGAGGACCAUAAGCCCAAGGAAGCUUUUGUUUAUUUUUAAAAAAAUAUUUAAUAGAAUUCUAUAGUUAUUAUUAAAGUUAUAGAAUUCAACGAAUGUCAUUUUUUUGCAUGCUUAAAAAUUGCAGAUAAGAGCCAGGGGCAUUUAGAACACCGAGUUCAUGCUGCCAUUAACAAAUUUGCAGACCUUGGGUUAAGAUUACUUUUUAUUUAUUAUUAUGUUCAGGUUUUGAUUGUUGGUUGUGUUUUUUUAAAUGGGAAGUUCUAGAGGGAAGGAUAAAAAGAGAGUCCAGCAGGAUCAUGGCAGUUUAUCGGGCUAAUGCGGCUCUUUGAUCCACCACGUCAUGUUAGUGUCAGGACGAUACAUAAGGCUUUGAAUCUUGUAGUAAACAUUAAAAUGAUUACAGGUGCAUUACGAUUUUAAGUUUCGAUUGACUUUUUAAAGUCAAACAUAUUACUUUGAAUAAAUAUUUUUCCUUUGAAUUUUUGAGAAUAAUGUGACAAUAACAAGUGUACAGACAUAAAAUGUCAAUAUUCACCAACUAGAAACGUUUUAGUGUUAAUUGCUAAAAAAUCCAUUUCGUUAUCGGUUUUAAAUGAUACUAGGUUUGACCUCAAAAGCAAUUUUUGUAAGAGAGCUAGCAAUGGUCCUUUCAGUAGUUCCAUUGACAUUGUUUAAGUCCGUACCCAUUUAUAGGCCGGUUUGGGUUUUUAAAUCUCAAACGGGUCAAAUAGAAGGCAACUAGAAGCAAAACGGGUCAAAUUUGCCCAAAACAAAAUUUUAUGUGUACACCUUCCUAAUUGUUAUUAUUUAUAACAAUAUAGUUUUGUAAUUAUAGUUGGCACAUUAGCUGUCUAUAAAAGAUGUAAAAUAAGUGCUUCGGGUCGACUUGAUCGUUUUUAACCUGCAUUAAAAGUUACUUUGGAAUAGGAAAUCAACUGCCAAUCCAGAAAGAAGCCAUGUAGCCUUCUUCAGCUUUGCUUGGUCAAGAUAAAGACGAUUCAAUUGUCGCUUUACUCAUCGAUGAAGUCGCAGAAAAAACCUAUGAUUUUGUGGUUGUUUUCCCAGGUACGUUUUUCCGCAUUUCAACUAAUCAGGUCUAAAACGACACGGGUCACGUUGGCAUUUAUUUAUUUAGUUGAUUCUUUUUCCUCUCGGAACACGCACUACUUAUAGUAUUUUACUAUCACCGGCAUGCAAAGGAAAUGUUUUCCUAGGUAUGCCCUUCCCCAUUUCAAUUGAUAUUCUGGUCUAAAUAUUGUGUUUUUAAACUAUAUCCACAUUCUGACUUCUCUCUACAGUCUAUCAGAGGACCUAGAGGGGCCAUAUUAUUCUUCAAAAAAGAUCAUGUUUUGGGAAUUGAAUUAGAAUCUACCAUUAACAAUGUUUUUUUCCCAGUUUGCAGGUUAGUUCUUAAUCACUACUGUGUAAUCAUGGCUAGGGGCAAGGUGGUCUUUUUCUAGCCUUACCUGUAUUUUUUGUUAUUAAAACAAAUGACCUUAAAAAGGUAGUCUUGUAGUUUGCUUGAAUUAGACUCGAUCUUGAGAAUUCAAAGCUAACUAGAACCAGGUUUAUUUCCAUCUUAUUUGGUUAGCAUCACAAGAAGCAACCGUUAGAAUUUUCUACUGGUUCAGUGGUUUAUCAUGGUGCUCUUGCAGAUUGUUUCUAAUUGUGGAGCUCUUGUUAAAUGAUUGUUGGAGCUAGAAUACACAUUGGCCUUCUUGAAAGUGAUAGAUUGGAGAACAAGCUUGAAACAAAGAGCUGGCUUUCUACAUUUAUUUUAUAGAGUUGUAAUGACUUGGGAGAUAAACUAAAAACUGAAAUGAUGUUAUAGCGGGUAUACUUUUCAACAUAUUUAUAUAAAAGUAUACAUAUGUUGGUGUUAUGGUGGGUAUACUUUUUUUUUUUUGAGAAAUACAUACAAGUGUGGCCAUUAUGAAUU